CGCGUAGGUGGAUUACUAAGUCAGAUGUGAAAGCCCAGGGCUCAACCUUGGAACUGCAUUUGAUACUGGUAGUCUUGAGUACAGUAGAGGGAGGUGGAAUUUCAGGUGUAGCGGUGAAAUGCGUAGAUAUCUGAAGGAACAUCAGUGGCGAAGGCGGCCUUCUGGACUGAUACUGACACUGAGGUGCGAAAGCGUGGGGAGCGAACA
rnacentral:rRNA from 1 species